GGCUGCAUAAAGGGAGUAAACCAAAGUACAUUUGACCACAAGAUGACUUUUUAAAAGCCAGAACUAUGGUAGCAUGAAGCCAACUGAGAUCCAGGUAAAGGCUCUGACACUUUCUCGGGGACACACUGCUAAGGGCUCCACAGAAGUCUCCAAUCUUUAAAUCUUCAGUCUAUGAAAGCACAGAUUCCUGAAAGGAUGGCCUCAAAUGACCAGGACUAGGAGCUCUCUAUAUCCCUGCUCCUGAAAAACAAGCUA
rnacentral:lncRNA from 1 species